GACGUAGGGCGCAAGCGUUGUCCGGAUUUAUUGGGCGUAAAGAGCGUGUAGGCGGCUUGGUAGGUCAGCUGUGAAAACUCGAGGCUCAACCUCGAGAUGUCGGUUGAAACCACCUGGCUAGAGUCCGGAAGAGGAGAAUGGAAUUCCCGGUGUAGCGGUGAAAUGCGCAGAUAUCGGGAAGAACACCCGUGGCGAAGGCGGUUCUCUGGGACGGUACUGACGCUGAGACGCGAAAGCGUGGGGAGCGAACAGG
rnacentral:rRNA from 1 species